rnacentral:piRNA from 1 species
UCAUGAGUUCCAAUAAAUCUUGACCUCCCC